rnacentral:tRNA from 1 species
GCCAACAUAGCUCAGUUGGUAGAGCAGCUCACUCGUAAUGAGCAGGUCGUCGGUUCGAUUCCGACUGUUGGCUCCA